rnacentral:lncRNA from 1 species
AUUGCAUAAGAGGAUGAGGUAAAAUCUGAACACACUUUAGAUUUUAUAUUUGAUGAGCUUCAAGAUACCUUUCAUGAAUUGCUUGAUGAAUUCAAGAAAAUCAAUUUGAAAAAUAAGAUUUGAACAUAAAAAAUUAUUCUUUGUCAAAAGAAAAAAAAGGAGAUUUUACAAAGCAAUAAGAUUUUGAUGGAAGAAAAUGAUUCUCUAAAGAAGGAAGUAGAAAAGCUUAAACCUUUGGUUAACAAGUUUACAUGUAGUUUUACAAAACUCUAAAAAAUUUUGAGCAACCCAAAAAUAGUUUUCAAUAAAGCCGGUCUUAAUUUUAAUCCUAACAACAAACAAAAGUUUUUGAAAAACUUUUUUACUAGUUCCUCAUCGCAUGCUACUUCAAAAGUCACUUAUUUUUACUAUGAAAAAAUAGGACAUAAAGCUUAUUCCUGCAAUUUCAGAAAGUUAAAUGGUAAAGUAGUUAAGAAAGUUUGAGUUCUAAAAGGAUCCUUAGUUAC